GAGCCAGACUCCUACGGGAGGCAGCAGUGGGGAAUAUUGCACAAUGGGGGGAACCCUGAUGCAGCGACGCCGCGUGGGCGAGGAAGUAUUUCGGUAUGUAAAGCCCUAUCGGCAGGGAAGAAGAAAUGACGGUACCUGAAUAAGAAGCACCGGCUAAAUACGUGCCAGCAGCCGCGGUAAUACGUAGGGGGCAAGCGUUAUCCGGAUUUACUGGGUGUAAAGGGGGCGCAGACGGCGAUGCAAGCCAGGAGUGAAAGCCCGGGGCCCAACCCCGGGACUGCUCUUGGAACUGCGGCGCUGGAGUACGGGAGGGGCAGGCGGAAUUCCUGGUGUAGCGGUGAAAUGCGUAGAUAUCAGGAGGAACACCGGCGGCGAAGGCGGCCUGCUGGACCGUGACUGACGUUGAGGCUCGAGAGCGUGGGGAGCAAACAGGAUUAGAUACCCCAGUAAC
rnacentral:rRNA from 1 species